AGUUUGACUCCGUGGCUACAGGACGAACGCUGGCGGCGUGCUUAACACAUGCAAGUCGAACGGUAAGGCCCUUCGGGGUACACGAGUGGCGAACGGGUGAGUAACACGUGGGUGAUCUGCCCUGCACUUCGGGAUAAGCCUGGGAAACUGGGUCUAAUACCGGAUAGGACCAUGGACUUCACGGUUUGUGGUGGAAAGCUUUUGCGGUGUGGGAUGGGCCCGCGGCCUAUCAGCUUGUUGGUGGGGUAAUGGCCUACCAAGGCGACGACGGGUAGCCGGCCUGAGAGGGUGUCCGGCCACACUGGGACUGAGAUACGGCCCAGACUCCUACGGGAGGCAGCAGUGGGGAAUAUUGCACAAUGGGCGCAAGCCUGAUGCAGCGACGCCGCGUGAGGGAUGACGGCCUUCGGGUUGUAAACCUCUUUCAAUAGGGACGAAGCGCAAGUGACGGUACCUAUAGAAGAAGCACCGGCCAACUACGUG
rnacentral:rRNA from 1 species